rnacentral:rRNA from 1 species
AUUGAACGCUGGCGGCAGGCCUAACACAUGCAAGUCGAACGAGAGGCGGACGGGUGAGUAAUGUAUGGGGAACUGCCUGAUGGAGGGGGAUAACGACUGGAAACGGUAGAUAAUACCGCAUACCAUCCGAUGUACAGAGAUGGGAUUAGCUUGUGGGGGGGGUAACGGCUCACCAAGGCGACGAUCCCUAGCUGGUCUGAGAGGAUGACCAGCCACACUGGAACUGAGACACGGUCCAGACUCCUACGGGAGGCAGCAGUGGGGAAUAUUGCACAAUGGGCGCAAGCCUGAUGCAGCCAUGCCGCGUGUAUGAAGAAGGCCUUCGGGUUGUAAAGUACUUUCAGCGGGGAGGCGUUACCCGCAGAAGAAGCACCGGCUAACUCCGUGCCAGCAGCCGCGGUAAUAC